GUGCCGCACAGGGACAUUUAAAAGCACGAAAGGCUAUUUUUGAGUAUUUGGCGUAGGCCUCCUGAAACAUGUUCUUGCAGCAGAUCUGGGCCUUCAGACGGGAGCAGAUAAGGAAGGAUCCUCCCAUUUUGCGAUGCAGAGAGUAGGUUUCCUCCGGCGGUGGAGUCAGACGCUCCUUCAGCAUCACUGGAAUCAGACGGUGGAUCCGUUCAGUCGUACUCUGAGAUCCAAAAUCAAACGGCUCGUCUGAUGAAAACGCUUCGCCGAGGAUCAUCACCGCAUCCACGUACGUAUGGACGCUUCACCUCAUUCUUGAGCUCCUGUGGCAGAUCUUCAGCUUUAUCCAGAGGGAAACCGGACACCAGCUCUGUGGCAUGAAGUCGGCGCUCUGUCGAACCCGCUCGAAGAUCUUGGCAAGCUGAGGGUUUAUAAAAGCAUCAUCUGCAGAUAGAAAACUCCAGAAUCAGUGUGAACUC